rnacentral:lncRNA from 1 species
AAUCGAUUUCAUAAACCAACAUCGACUCUCUACAGAAACUCCUUCAAAAUCAACACAGAGAUCCUAUUGCCACAAUCCUACCCUCCCAAAUGACGUGCCGAAGAAUCCGAUUAGCGACCCCAACAUCAUUUUCUAUCCAAAUUUCGUUAGCUGUCACACAUCCACAAAAUCCACCGGAUUAGCAUACACAUUCCAAAAAGAAGAGAGUAUUGCAUUUGUUGUAGUUGAAAAGAGAUCAUAAGCAUCCUAAUAAGUUACCUAGAGAUAAUCUGAUUAGAUGUGUUUUAAACAUCCAUGUUGGCCCGUGUCUUGAUCAGCACCUACCAGAAGUAGCCCCUGCCACCACACAAUACUCACAAAGGAAGUUGUAACGUUCUGAUAUAAAAAACAUAAGAAUUAAGAAAAAAAGCUAUAAGCUCUAUUCUAGCAUCUGACCUAAACAUGAACCUAAGCACUUGUAAACAUAGACCUCAACUGCUCUAUUCAAACAUGCUGUCUGGAUAAGCUCGAAAAACUAAACCCUACAGGUUGAAAACAUAGCAGAUUCAACCACUUGCUCUAAUUUCUAUGCUCUAAUUAUUACUCUUUUUUUUGUUAACAAUUCACAUUACCAAUGACCACUUGCUUCCUCUAUCCAUUGUAAAACCUCUUCUACACGACAACCGUUUCAUCAUCUAAUCGUUCAAGACCAAUCAUAUCAGAAGCCAAGAGUUUAUUACAAUGCUAGCACUGGCAAAGGAUAAGUGAGCAGAAUCUCAUACCGUUACGCGAAUGGAUCAGUCGUUCAUUGCCUGGGGGGCUGGGCACAGACUGCCACCCGACGCGGAGCUGAAUGACCUACUUGAGCGUCGGCGACGCCACCUCCAUCGUCCACUUGUCAUACUACUUCUCUGGCCUGAAGCACACUCAGCGNNNN